AGCUCCAAUAGCGUAUAUUAAAGUUGUUGUGGUUAAAAAGCUCGUAGUUGGAUCUCAACAGCCUUGAAGCGGUUAACUUUGUAGUUUUACUGCUUUGUAGGCUGUGCUUUUGCUGGAGGUUUAGGGGUGCUCUUGAUCGAGUGUCUCUGGAUGCCAGCAGGUUUACUUUGAAAAAAUUAGAGUGCUCAAAGCAGGCUAAAAUGCCUGAAUAUUCGUGCAUGGAAUAAUAGAAUAGGAUGUCGAUCCUAUUUUGUUGGUUUUCGGUACUCGACAUAAUGAUAAAUAGGGACAGUCGGGGGCAUUUGUAUUCAAACGACAGAGGUGAAAUUCUCAGAUUUAUUGAAGACUAACUUAUGCGAAAGCAUUUGCCAAGGAUGUUUUCA
rnacentral:rRNA from 1 species